GCAGCGAGGGUACAUGAUUCUAGUUUUACAGUAUCAGUAGCUCUAGGUACAGUUAAAACUCAAGGUAGUAGUAGUACUGCUCCAUCUUUUUUUCGUGAAUACACAAGAUGCGUAUCUUUUCAUUGAUAGGAGAAGAGAGUUUUAGCAUGAGAUUACAAUCACUUACAAGGCCAUGUACGCAUGCGGCAUGAAUGAAAGCGUUGGAGCAGAACAGAGUAUGGGGUUGCUCAGCCCCUAGGAAAGUUGGCUAACUAAGCGUCGGGGAUGAUGUUGUGUAACCCAGUGGCACCUGCCUUUGCCCGAAGGCGUGCCUCGUCUUUGAUGGUGGCGGAGAGGAGGGAUAUCGAUGGCCGGUCACCGUCGAAGAUGCAACCGUUGCGGUGUUUCCACAAGCACCGGGUGGUCAGCAUGAUCAGGGUCGAAAGGCCCUUCCUCAUUUGGGCGGUGGUGUUGCCAGUCGAAGUAUUCCACCAAGUGUGGAAGGGUGUGUCGGGAUUGGGUAUGUCCACCGAGGCUCUCACCCACUAAGGAUCUCAUGCCAUAUCUAUUUGGAGAAAGGGCAUCCAGUCAGAAGGUGUUGCAUGGUCUCCGAAUCCUGAUCGCAUAGAACACAGGUCGCGUCAUGUGGUAGGCCAUGCCUGGACAGACGGUCAGCACUCCAGCAAUGGUCCUGAAGAGCAAGCCAGAGAAAGAACUUGACGCGCAGCGGUGCCCACGGUCGCCAUGUGAGCUUCCAGUGGGGGUCCUCGCAAGCGCCGAUGUAGAGGGCCUUACAGCACGAGCUGGCUGAGUAGGUGCCGGAGGUGGUCUAGCGCCAUUUGAGCACAUCCGGCUCAUCCGAGAUGUCAAUGUGGCAAACGCGAUGCCAAAGAUCAACAUAUUGCACCAUAGCCGUCGGUCGAAGUGCUCCAUGGAUGUCUUGCACCCAAGUUCAGAGGUGGAGACCCUCGCGAAUGGUGCGAGUCUGGCACCGGCAUCGAGGGACGAGGGCGAGGACUAGAGGGGCGAUCUCAGCCACGGACAUGUCGUCUAUCCAGUGGUCGGCCCAGAAUCUACAGGUGUCACCGGACCCAAGGUCCCAGGUUGUAGACGCUCUGAAGAUGGCACUCACAUCUGGGUCGUGAGGUAUGUGUAAGUGGCUCCAGGGUCGUGAGGGGUCGGUGCAUUGUAACCAAAGCCACCGCGCACGGAGGGCGAUGCCGGUCCUUUGGAUGUCCCUGAUGCCUAGCCCGCCAAGAGAAAUCGGUCGGCAACUCGCUGCCAGUUAACACGGCACUGGCCUCCAUUGGCUUCGGUGCCUCCCGCCCAAAGGAAUCCGCGGAUGAUCCAGUUGAUUUUCUUGAGGAUGGAUUGGUUGAGGACGAAGGCGGCGAGGAAGUGAGUGGGGAUAGCACUGAGAACGUGACACACGAGAGCCAGACAGUCACCGUUGGACAACAUGGAAGCUCGCCAAGUGGAGAGCUUGCGGGCGGGCUUGUCGACGAUAAGGAGCAAGCUAGUUGUGGCGGCCUUGCGAACUGAGAGGGGCAAGCCGAGGUAUGUGAUGGGGAAGUGGGCUAUCGGGCACUGCAUCUCAGACGUGAUCGUCGCGAUGUUGCCCUCGUCGCACCGGAUUGGUGUGGCAGAACACUUGGCGAAGUUUGUAUGAAGCCCGGAAGUCUUGGUGAAUACAUGUAGGAUGGCUCACACGGUGGUAAUGUCAUGGCUGUCUGGGUGGCAAAAGAUGAUGACAUCGUCCGCGUAAAGAGAUAUACGCGAGCUCGCGUGUCGGGUGGUAAGGCGUCGGAGAAGGCCUCGACCCACCGCGCGGAGUAGCAUUGUGUUGAGCACAUCGAUGACAAGAGUGAAGAGCAUGGGGGAGACCGGGUCGCCCUGCCGGAGUCCAUGCGCAUGGUCGAUCGGUGGCCCCGGGUGCCCAUUGAUGAGAACUCACGUGGAAGCAGUCGAGAGGAGUAUGGAGAUCCACUCCCGCCAUCGGGGACCGAAGCUAAGAUGUUGCAGUAUCUGCAAGAGGAAUGGACAGGAGACGCUGUCGAAGGCCCGUGCAAUAUAGAGCUUGAGGAGCAUGUGUGGCGUCUUGAGGUUGUGAAGCAGAGGAGCAGUUUGUUGCACCAACAGGAAGUUAUCAUGGAUGCAACACCCCGCAAUGAACGCGCUUUGAUUGGUGGACACCAUCGGGCCCAAUCGUGGCGCCAGUCGAAGGGAUAGUACCUUCGCGACAAGCUUAGAGAAGAUGUGAAUGAGGCUGAUGGGCCGGUAGUCAAAGAGCGUUUGUGCAUCCGCUCGCUUUGGGAGCAAGGUGAGGAGGGCUUCCUUGAGCUUUUGGAUGCCCCUUCCAUUCAUGGUAUAGAGCUUGCCGAAUGCCUCGCAGAAGUCGUUCUUGAUCGUGUCCCAACAUACAACAAGGAAUUCAGAGGUGAAUCCGUCGGGGCCGGGCGCCUUGCCGAUAGGUAAGCUCUUAAUUGCAUUCCAAAUCUCGUCCUCAGAGAAUGGCGGCUCAAGCUCGUGUAAGUCAAACUGCGGGACGCACAAAGCGCGGAGAUCAAGUGUGAUGUCACGCUCCGUGGCACUUCCGAGCACAUCAGAGAAGUGGUUGUAAGCGGCUUCAGCCAUGGCGUCAUGCCCGGUCACCACGUGGUCGCCCACACGGAUGGAUGUCAUACGGUUGCGUGAACUUUGUAGUAGGAGAUGGCGGCAUCAUCACUACGCAGCCAAGAAAGGCGGGUCCGUUGUCUUGCGAUGGAUUGCUCGAGGGAAGCAAGGCCAAGGUAGGAUGCCUUAAGUCUUCGUCGGAGCCAUGACUCGGAUUGGGAGAGCGGGCGCAUGUCCUGGGCGGCGUCAAGGCGGGCACUGAGCUCACGCGCAACCUUGAGUUGCAGAGAAACAUUCCAGAUGGAUCUCAUACUCCACCUUUGGAGGUGUCUUGUCGUCGUCUUUAGGCGGGCCACGAUGCGCCUGAAGGGGUCAGGAUCCGGUGGCACAGAACUCCAAGCCUCAGUAACCGCGGGUUGGAAUCCUUCCUACUUCAGCCAGAAUCUCUCAAAGUGAAACCUUCAUGCACCGGAAGGGUUUGCGGCGCAGUCCACGACCAGCGGGCAAUGGUCGGACUCCGCAGAGGAAAGGCAGUAUAGGAGGCAGUGAGGGUGCAUAAUUUCCCACAUUAUGAAAGGCCAGGGGGCAUUUGUCCCCCUGCCCCCUCGCGCAAAAGAUUUGCCAUUUUCAUUGAUUAAAAAGAAGUUAGAAUUGCUCGGUUAAUUGACGAAAAACCAGGUCGACACAAUCCAACCCAUAGCAGGGCACCUCCGGCCAACCUGGCCACCGACAUGAAACACGGAGCUGCAAACAACAAAGACAACAGUCGAGGAGUCGCAAGCGUCAUUGUCAUCACCGGUUGCCUCCGAACGGGCGACUCCGACUUCACCAUAGAGCUCCAACGUCGAAGCCAUCACUGGUUGCCUCCGAACGGGCGACUCCGACUUCACCAUAGAGCUCCAACAUCAAAGCCAACCCGCAAACAGCGCCAACUUCUAGGAUAUUAUCUUGCGUAUGUAGCGUCCAUCUAGUUGUACAAGUGGAGUAGUAUGUAGGAAAAAGUCCAUUUUAAACCCUGAAUUUGUAGAGGUUCGGCGGAACGAACCCUCAAGUCAAAAUCCCGGUCGAUUGAACCCUAAACUUUGCAAUCCCGGUCUAAAUCGAACCCUGGCACCGUUCGGACCAGUCAACAAGGAUUCGUCUGUGUUCUUUCACAAAAAACCCAUUGCUUUAUAUGUAAUCAAGCAAAAGCCCUUGAUUGCAAAAAAAAGGUAUGACACUAUUUCCACACGAAAUAAUAAAUCACCGCCUCGGACAGGAAUCGAACCUGUGUUGUCACACUAACGCGCCGGCGCGCAGGACACUACGCCACUGACUAGCAUAUGUUAUUUUACAGGCUUAUACCUUUUUAUAAAAUAACUUUGGACACAAUCGAUUUUUCUUCCCGCAAAUAAAAAAUUCAACGCAUGCCAGGAUUCGAACCUGCGUUGCCCCAAAUACACAAAGCGUGCGCAAACCACUAUGACGACCGAUGGGUUCUAGCGCAUUUCUGGCUUACGCUCUUUUAUAUUUUAUAAACUACAGACACGUCCGGACCUACGCGGAUUCGGAUUUGUAUGUGGUUUUUAAUUAGAUACCACCCAGCAAACCACUAUGACGAUCGAUAGGUUCGAGAGACUUCGGGUUUUUAAUUUUUGCAUAUUUUUAUAUAGGUUUUGUAGUAAACGGUGUAUGUCUUUUCACUAGUACCGACAUAUUUUAAUUUACACUAAAUUUUUUAUUAUGUAAGAUUUUUUGUAAAUAAAAACUUAAAAUUAUUUUAUGAUAUAUGAAAAAAUUGGUUAUAUAUAGUGAACAUUUAUUUAAUAUUAUUGCUUAAAUUUCAUAUUAUGCGAUAUAUUUUUAAAAUACACACUGAACAUUACUGCAUUGUUAUAUGAUGAAUUUUUUAAAAAUAUACAAUGAAGUUUUUAAAUAUAUAUUGCACUUUUUAUAUUACGCGAUAUCUUUCUAAAGUACACGCUGAACAUUAUUGUGUAAAUACACACUGAGCAUUAAGUUCGUCAAUUUAAAAAAAGAAUCCCGAAUUUAAGAAAAAGACGGAAAGAAAGAAGAACAUAAUAAAAAGGGGGCAAGUGAACACAACGUAUUACUUGUCCUUGGUGGUUAGUUGCGAGAGACAAUAUCAAGGGGUCUCGUGUUCUAGUACGUACCGUGCGCUUUUGUUUUUGUUUUUAAACGGAAAAACUAAAGCAGACCGGGCCAGGGUGUGGCGCCCUUUGUGAUUUUUUGUUUUUUUCGAAUAAAGCGGGCCGGCCCAUUGGGGAGCAGGUGUGUGUCCUUUGCAAAAUACGAACAAUCCCGGCCAUUCUUUGCCAUGUGGACAAUCCCUGUUUGGGAAAUGUCAUGAAGGUUCAAUUUAGAUCGGGAUUGCGUAGUUCAGGGUGUAAUCGGCCGGGAUUUCGACUUGAGGGUUUAUUUCACCGAACCACUACAAGUUCAGAGUUUGAACCUCUACAAGUUCAGAGUUUAAAAUGGACUUUACACGUGUAGUAAUAUCCUAUCGUAUGUAGCGUCCAGUGGAGUAGUAGCGGAGUAGUAGCAUGUAUAUACACGUGUAGUAAAUGUUGAUUGCUCAACGCUGCCUGAUUCCAAUACAGAUACAGAGGACUGUAAGUGAAAGACAACCAGAUGCAAAUGGCACAAUGUUGCCGUUCAGACCUAUUGAUCCCAAUUUUGUCUGCACACUCGCAGUAUUUGGUGCUUUUCCUAGGCGCAGAUGCUGCAGCUCGAGGGCCUCGGAAGAGAAUAACAGAUGCUGCAGCUCAAAUAAUGACAACAAAAAGUAAUACUAGAUGAUUUCUUAUACAUGUAACAUACUCCCAAGAAGGCAGAGAGAGUACAUGGUUCUAGUUUUACAGUAUCAGUACUCUAGGUACAGUUAAUUAAAACUUAAGGUAGUACUGCUCCAUCAUAUGCAGAGCAGAUUACAACGCUGCAAUCACAGAAAACCCUCAAAGGCAAAGAAACUCCAGAUGAACAGAGCUCUGUACCAUAGCCAUGGCAUCCAUCAUCUCUGAACGAAGAAAUAAGGAACCACUUGCAGCAGCGAUGGAACUUGGAAAUGC
rnacentral:lncRNA from 1 species